CGUGUCCUGCGGGGUGCGUGAUAGAUCUUUUUUUAACCCACAUUUCGUUAUUAGGGAUGCACCUCUCAGGGUGUGGAUCGCAGGCCUCCCGGCUGCCGUUCGCGGUUGGAAGUUGGAAGCGGUAAAGCAUUCUGGAAGCAACCCACCUGUGCUUGAAGGUGCAGGUUAUAACGAGGUCUACACGGCCGCCGCGGGACAGCU
rnacentral:other from 2 species